UACGUAGGGGUGCAAGCGUUAAUCGGAAUUACGGGGCGUAAAGCGUGCGCAGGCGGUUGUGCAAGACAGAUGUGAAAUCCCCCGGGCUUAACCUGGGAAUUGCAUUUGUGACUGCACGGCUAGAGUGUGUCAGAGGGGGGUAGAAUUCCACGUGUAGCAGUGAAAUGCGUAGAUAUGGUGGAGGAAUACCGAUGGCGAAGGCAGCCCCCUGGGAUAACACUGACGCUCAUGCACGAAAGCGUGGGGAG
rnacentral:rRNA from 1 species